rnacentral:lncRNA from 1 species
CGAGGCCGCGGACGAAGAUGUUCCGCUUGGAGCUGUCUAGCUCCGCGGACUCGAGGACGGCGGAGAUGAGGCGGGAGCCCUUUUCGGCGGUUUUGUGGAUGAGGUUGACGAGCUCUUCCUUGGUGUAGGUUUCGAGGAGGUGCUUGAGGUCUUCCUUGUCGAACUCGGAGUCAGAAUCGGACUCGUUGGUAGGGAUCUUAAUUGGAUGAGAAUCAUCGGGAGGGACGGUUACAGUCUCUUCGGAUUCGGAUUCGGAUUCGGAUUCAGUUGGUUUCUUGUGUUUCUUCGACUUCUUGAGUGGUUUCUCUUCGACGACUUGGAGUUUCUUGGACUUCUUCUUUGGUUUC